AGAGUUUGAUCCUGGCUCAGGACGAACGCUGGCGGCGUGCCUAACACAUGCAAGUCGAACGGAACUAAUUUGACUGAUUCCUUCGGGAUGAAGAAUUUUUAGUUUAGUGGCGGACGGGUGAGUAACGCGUGAGUAACCUGCCUCUGAGAGGGGAAUAACGUUCUGAAAAGAACGCUAAUACCGCAUAACACAUAUUUGCCGCAUGACAGAUAUGUCAAAGAUUUUAUCGCUCGGAGAUGGACUCGCGUCCGAUUAGUUAGUUGGUGAGGUAACGGCUCACCAAGACCGCGAUCGGUAGCCGGACUGAGAGGUUGAACGGCCACAUUGGGACUGAGACACGGCCCAGACUCCUACGGGAGGCAGCAGUGGGGGAUAUUGCGCAAUGGGGGCAACCCUGACGCAGCAACGCCGCGUGAAGGAUGAAGGUUUUCGGAUUGUAAACUUCUUUUAUCAGGGACGAAAUUUGACGGUACCUGAUGAAUAAGCUCCGGCUAACUACGUGCCAGCAGCCGCGGUAAUACGUAGGGAGCAAGCGUUGUCCGGAUUUACUGGGUGUAAAGGGUGCGUAGGCGGCUUUUUAAGUCAGAUGUGAAAUCUAUGGGCUCAACCCAUAAACUGCAUUUGAAACUAGAGAGCUUGAGUGAAGUAGAGGCAGGCGGAAUUCCCUGUGUAGCGGUGAAAUGCGUAGAGAUAGGGAGGAACACCAGUGGCGAAGGCGGCCUGCUGGGCUUUAACUGACGCUGAGGCACGAAAGCGUGGGUAGCAAACAGGAUUAGAUACCCUGGUAGUCC
rnacentral:rRNA from 1 species